rnacentral:rRNA from 1 species
GGAUUAGAUACCCUGGUAGUCCACGCCCUAAACGAUGUCAACUGGUUGUUGGAAGGGUAACCUUUUAGUAACGAAGCUAACGCGUGAAGUUGACCGCCUGGGGAGUACGGUCGCAAGAUUAAAACUCAAAGGAAUUGACGGGGACCCGCACAAGCGGUGGAUGAUGUGGUUUAAUUCGAUGCAACGCGAAAAACCUUACCUACACUUGACAUGCCAGAAAUCCUGCAGAGAUGUGGGAGUGCCGCAAGGAAUCUGGGCACAGGUGCUGCAUGGCUGUCGUCAGCUCGUGCCG